UACGAAGGGGGCUAGCGUUGCUCGGAAUCACUGGGCGUAAAGCGCACGUAGGCGGCUUUUUAAGUCAGGGGUGAAAUCCUGGAGCUCAACUCCAGAACUGCCUUUGAUACUGGGAAGCUUGAGUUCGGGAGAGGUGAGUGGAACUGCGAGUGUAGAGGUGAAAUUCGUAGAUAUUCGCAAGAACACCAGUGGCGAAGGCGGCUCACUGGCCCGAUACUGACGCUGAGGUGCGAAAGCGUGGGGAGCAAACAGG
rnacentral:rRNA from 1 species